ACGGAGGGUGCGAGCGUUGUCCGGAAUCACUGGGCGUAAAGGGCGCGUAGGCGGUCUGCUAAGCGUGUGGUGAAAGCUCGGGGCUCAACCCCGAGUCGGCCAUGCGAACUGGUGGACUUGAGCACUGUAGAGGCAGGUGGAAUUCCGGGUGUAGCGGUGGAAUGCGUAGAGAUCCGGAAGAACACCGGUGGCGAAGGCGGCCUGCUGGGCAGUAGCUGACGCUGAGGCGCGACAGCGUGGGGAGCAAACAGGAUUAGAUACCCUGGUAGUCCACGCCGUAAACGAUGGGUACUAGGUGCUUGGGGGAGCGACCCCCCGAGUGCCGGCGCUAACGCAUUAAGUACCCCGCCUGGGGAGUACGACCGCAAGGUUG
rnacentral:rRNA from 1 species